rnacentral:rRNA from 1 species
ACACUCCUACGGGAGGCAGCAGUGGGGAAUUUUGGACAAUGGGCGAAAGCCUGAUCCAGCCAUGCCGCGUGCAGGAUGAAGGCCUUCGGGUUGUAAACUGCUUUUGUACGGAACGAAACGGCCUUUUCUAAUAAAGAGGGCUAAUGACGGUACCGUAAGAAUAAGCACCGGCUAACUACGUGCCAGCAGCCGCGGUAAUACGUAGGGUGCAAGCGUUAAUCGGAAUUACUGGGCGUAAAGCGUGCGCAGGCGGUUAUGUAAGACAGUUGUGAAAUCCCCGGGCUCAACCUGGGAACUGCAUCUGUGACUGCAUAGCUAGAGUACGGUAGAGGGGGAUGGAAUUCCGCGUGUAGCAGUGAAAUGCGUAGAUAUGCGGAGGAACACCGAUGGCGAAGGCAAUCCCCUGGACCUGUACUGACGCUCAUGCACGAAAGCGUGGGGAGCAAACAGGAUUAGAUACCCCUGUAGUCCCAUGAU